rnacentral:rRNA from 1 species
GUUAGGAAUAUUGGACAAUGGGCGCAAGCCUGAUCCAGCCAUGCCGCGUGAACGAUGAAGGCCUUCGGGUUGUAAAGUUCUUUAGCCGAUGAUUAUAAUGACUGUAGUCGGAAAAUAAGCCCCGGCUAACUUCGUGCCAGCAGCCGCGGUAAUACGAAGGGGGCGAGCGUUAUUCGGAAUCACUGGGCGUAAAGCGUGCGUAGGCGGUUUUGUAAGUUAGGAGUGAAAGCCCAGGGCUCAACCUUGGAAUUGCUCUUAAAACUGCAAGGCUCGAAUCUCGGAGAGGAUAGCGGAAUUUCCAGUGUAGCAGUGAAAUGCGUAGAUAUUGGAAGGAACACCAGUGGCGUAAGCGGCUAUCUGGACGAGUAUUGACGCUGAGGCACGAAAGCGUGGGGAUCAAACAGGAUUAGAAACCCCAGUAGUCC